rnacentral:rRNA from 1 species
ACUCGGCCAGAUGGGAGCUUGCUCCCUGAUGUUAGCGGCGGACGGGUGAGUAACACGUGGGUAACCUGCCUGUAAGACUGGGAUAACUCCGGGAAACCGGGGCUAAUACCGGAUGCUUGUUUGAACCGCAUGGUUCAGACAUAAAAGGUGGCUUCGGCUACCACUUACAGAUGGACCCGCGGCGCAUUAGCUAGUUGGUGAGGUAACGGCUCACCAAGGCGACGAUGCGUAGCCGACCUGAGAGGGUGAUCGGCCACACUGGGACUGAGACACGGCCCAGACUCCUACGGGAGGCAGCAGUAGGGAAUCUUCCGCAAUGGACGAAAGUCUGACGGAGCAACGCCGCGUGAGUGAUGAAGGUUUUCGGAUCGUAAAGCUCUGUUGUUAGGGAAGAACAAGUGCCGUUCAAAUAGGGCGGCACCUUGACGGUACCUAACCAGAAAGCCACGGCUAACUACGUGCCAGCAGCCGCGGUAAUACGUAGGUGGCAAGCGUUGUCCGGAAUUAUUGGGCGUAAAGGGCUCGCAGGCGGUUUCUUAAGUCUGAUGUGAAAGCCCCCGGCUCAACCGGGGAGGGUCAUUGGAAACUGGGGAACUUGAGUGCAGAAGAGGAGAGUGGAAUUCCACGUGUAGCGGUGAAAUGCGUAGAGAUGUGGAGGAACACCAGUGGCGAAGGCGACUCUCUGGUCUGUAACUGACGCUGAGGAGCGAAAGCGUGGGGAGCGAACAGGAUUAGAUACCCUGGUAGUCCACGCCGUAAACGAUGAGUGCUAAGUGUUAGGGGGUUUCCGCCCCUUAGUGCUGCAGCUAACGCAUUAAGCACUCCGCCUGGGGAGUACGGUCGCAAGACUGAAACUCAAAGGAAUUGACGGGGGCCCGCACAAGCGGUGGAGCAUGUGGUUUAAUUCGAAGCAACGCGAAGAACCUUACCAGGUCUUGACAUCCUCUGACAAUCCUAGAGAUAGGACGUCCCCUUCGGGGGCAGAGUGACAGGUGGUGCAUGGUUGUCGUCAGCUCGUGUCGUGAGAUGUUGGGUUAAGUCCCGCAACGAGCGCAACCCUUGAUCUUAGUUGCCAGCAUUCAGUUGGGCACUCUAAGGUGACUGCCGGUGACAAACCGGAGGAAGGUGGGGAUGACGUCAAAUCAUCAUGCCCCUUAUGACCUGGGCUACACACGUGCUACAAUGGGCAGAACAAAGGGCAGCGAAACCGCGAGGUUAAGCCAAUCCCACAAAUCUGUUCUCAGUUCGGAUCGCAGUCUGCAACUCGACUGCGUGAAGCUGGAAUCGCUAGUAAUCGCGGAUCAGCAUGCCGCGGUGAAUACG